CCGAACAGCCAAUCAAAACCGAGGUUUGUUUCAUGCACGAGCUGUUCUUGCCCACCCCCCGUCCCUGCCCGCGCAGCCGAGGUAGCAUGCUCUCGUUCAAACAGUAAGCUAGCUGAGCUAGCUGAGUGAAGCUGACCCCUCCAACAACCUACACCCUACAACCUGGAUUGGAGCCUGUUCUGAAACCCAACACAGGGAAACAGAAGAAGACCCAGGAAUAAAUCCAAGUUGAAAAGAAAGAAUUAGAUCGAGCCCAGAAGAAAAUGAGGUGGAUUUCACAGGAGGAAGAGGAGGGAUGCAGAGUUAGCCAUUUCUGCUUGACAAAUGUCUGGAUGUUUAUUUGGCUAACAACAACAACCAAACUGCAGAUGACCACACAUCAUUUCCCGGUCCAUUCCAGUGUUGUUGGUAACGCAGAUCGAGAAGCUGACUUUGGGGGAGGUCUGAGACGCAGUGGAUUCUGGGAGACUCCUAUGCAGGCUUUGUAAAAUAGGUAAGUCAUAAACUGUGUCGAGAUGAAUUUUUUGGACUGCAACUGUUGUAGCUCUGAUGUUCAUCUUAAUUGUAGGACAAAGGGAAAUAUUUGAUGGUAAGUUUGGUGGUUUAUUCAAUGCAACAGAUUUUAAACUGACAAACUGUGGGAGACAGA